GGGGGUGUGACCAGCGGGGCGCUGACCGUGCACCCGUGAGUGCAGGCACAAGUCUACAAAGGAGGUGGCACAGUGGGUGUGUCAAGGCGGGCUCUCCGUCCCUGUGUUCUUUGCCCGAGACUGUCACUGAACUGAACGAGCCGAGUAGAUGGAACCGAAGAAAAUGUCGUCUCUACAGGAGGCGAACGCUGUAGAAAGCUGGUUCAACCCUUCACUAGCUGCUGGUUCUGGGUGCUGAGCCGGGACUCCAGCCAGGGCAGUGGGGAGACUUUUGAGAAAAGGCAGGUACCUGCAGACGGUGAUCGAGUCACCCUCCCCCCCAACCAAUGGAGCGGCCCCCUCCAGGGCCCUGUUUCUGACCCUUCAGUUCUUCUUGGAGCCUCUCCCACAGAUCCCCGGCCUCGUGGAGCUGCGGGUCCCCGCACCGGAGCCAGGACCCAGCACCAAACACCGAGCUUACUGAUGGAAAAAGUGAAACAGUCCCUGGCCAAGAAACAACCUCAUCAGCAGGACCCCACUAGCCUCGCCCCCUUGCUCCAGGCUGGUUUCCUGAUCUCAGCUAUGUUCUGAGACCAAACACUUCGAUGGUUUUUAGUAUAUUUAAUGUUGGACUGGGGGGCUUUACUUACCCAGGUCAUCCCAUUUACCCUUUUCAAACAUUGGUACAACAUUAGCUUUCCUCCACAAUUCUGGAACUUCCCCAGUAUUCAAGAGUUGUUGACAAUCACCAUUAAUGGCCCAGUGAGUUUCUCAGCCAGCUCUUUUAAAACUCUUGGUUUCCAGUUAUGUGAACCUGCUGAUUUUAAAAGUGUCUCUGAAGUUAUAGAAUGUAAAAUGUUUCAUUAUAAGCUAUGGCUGCCUCAUGUAUUUUUCUUAAAAACAACAGAAAUAUUAAUUGGACACUUGUGCCGUUUCUGCAUUAUUAUUGACAUCUCU